rnacentral:rRNA from 1 species
GUGAUCCGGUGGUUCUGAAUGGAAGGGCCAUCGCUCAACGGAUAAAAGGUACUCCGGGGAUAACAGGCUGAUACCGCCCAAGAGUUCAUAUCGACGGCGUGUUUGGCACCUCGAUGUCGGCUCAUCACAUCCUGGGGCUGAAGUAGGUCCCAAGGGUAUGGCUGUUCGCCAUUUAAAGUGGUACGCGAGCUGGGUUUAGACGUCGUGAGACAGUUCGGUCCCUAUCUGCCGUGGGCGCUGGAGAAUUGAGGGGGGCUGCUCCUAGUACGAGAGGACCGGAGUGGACGCAUCACUGGUGUUCGGGUUGUCAUGCCAAUGGCACUGCCCGGUAGCUAAAUGCGGAAGAGAUAAGUGCUGAAAGCAUCUAAGCACGAAACU